AUUGAACGCUGGCGGCAGGCCCAACACAUGCAAGUCGAGCGGAUGAAGGGGGCUUGCUCCUGGAUUCAGCGGCGGACGGGUGAGUAAUGCCUAGGAAUCUGCCUGGUAGUGGGGGAUAACGUCCGGAAACGGGCGCUAAUACCGCAUACGUCCUGAGGGAGAAAGUGGGGGAUCUUCGGACCUCACGCUAUCAGAUGAGCCUAGGUCGGAUUAGCUAGUUGGUGGGGUAAAGGCCUACCAAGGCGACGAUCCGUAACUGGUCUGAGAGGAUGAUCAGUCACACUGGAACUGAGACACGGUCCAGACUCCUACGGGAGGCAGCAGUGGGGAAUAUUGGACAAUGGGCGAAAGCCUGAUCCAGCCAUGCCGCGUGUGUGAAGAAGGUCUUCGGAUUGUAAAGCACUUUAAGUUGGGAGGAAGGGCAGUAAGUUAAUACCUUGCUGUUUUGACGUUACCAACAGAAUAAGCACCGGCUAACUUCGUG
rnacentral:rRNA from 1 species